GCAAUUACACGCGCGCGCACACACACACACACACACACACACAGAGGGGUUGGGGAGAGAGGGGGGGAUAGAGGCAGAGAGAGACAGAGACAGAGAGAGGCACAGACUGAGUUCCAGGCAAGCCUGAGCUACAUAAGCCCAGACUGUUAUUUGUUAGCAAAAGAAAGAACAAAACAAACACAGAAGUGCUUUAAUUAAACCGUGGUGGCCAAAGAAAGAGAAGCAGCUGUCUGAGGGUCGGCUCCAUCCACCAUAAGCUUGAGGACAGCUGCGAGGUUGCACCUCAUUCUAAAGACAGGGAUGUCCACUGGGCAGGAACAAAUGACAGGCACACGGGCGAUGGGCACACGGUCGGGUAACUUUCUGCUUCCCAUGAAAGCAACCUGCCCUCCUUACUCUCAUCACCUUAGAGAAUCAUUCCCUCCCCCAAGCCCUAGUCCCAUCCCCCUACUCCCCAUCCCAGCCCGGGAGCUCAGCGGCUGGCACAGGGCAGUGCUCAAAGUGCAGCAACAGCAAGCCAGGCAAUCACUCGGGCUCUUUUGUUUGUCCCUAAUGAUGGGGGCAGGGCAGGUACUUCAGUCCCCCUUAACCAUUUGUUGACGCCACAGCUGUUCUCCUACCCAAAGCCAAUGGCAAUUAAUCGCUGAAAUGUGUCACAAAGAAUACAUGAGCAAACAACUGAACUCCAGGGACAUUCCUCCUUCAUCCAAUUCGGUGCUGCUGUGAAGAAACUAGAUAAAGGCAGAGGCUACUUGUAUUAAACAAAUCAGGUUUUCCCUUUACUAAUGUCAAAUCUAAAAUCCCAGUACUGUAACUAUGAGAAAUCAAAACAAAACACAACUUUUAAAAAAUUAUAUAUCUAUAUAAAAAAGAACAAAACUCAUUAAAGACUUCAAAAAUAAAGCAAAAGGAUGAGGAAGGGAAGGCACAAAGCCAAGAGCGAGCAGCCCAGGGCACUGCUGUUUAGAAACAACCUAUCAAUGAUCUCUACAUUUUCCCCUGGUGUUUUACAUAACUGUAAUCACAAAUUGUAGUAGUCGCAGCCUGUGUCCUUUAAAGCGCCUGAUAAACAUUUCUCCACAUUUUUCCUCUUAACUUUGCAGCUACACAGAGUAGAUGACAGAAAAUACCAUUUCCUUCCACGACAACUACUACAGUAAAAACUGAGACUACCCUGUCGUUCCUGCAGCCGCUGAACUAAAAUAAGAUCUACUAAAAAUGCCUAGCCACGCAGAGUGGUUAAAAAUGUUAACUGGCUUUCAAGUGACACAGACAGACGACAGGCAAGACUUACUAGAGCCAUCUCUGUCCUGGGUCAGUUUCUUCUUUAACAUCACUGCUAACUGUCCUCACACCAACGGCCAAAAGCCCAGUGUGAGUGGUCAUACACGCAUACUGGCUCUUCAAGGCUAGGCUUCUUACUCAUUGUGUGCCCGUGCUGUGGUGAACAGUACCUGACAUAAUGGAGGAGACAUGCUAACACGCUGGUUGGAAUGAUUACUACGAUUAUGAUUAUUCAGACAGGAAAGAUGACUGUGAGUUGAAGUUACCAGACACAACAGACGAUAUGACUGGCAGAAUUUGACUUUAACAAUAAUUGUAGAAACAAAGUAAACCAGCGUAGACUGGGAUACUCGACAGAUGAAAGACAUAAAGGCUGGAAAGAGCUCAGCAUUUAAGGGCAUUUGCUACCCUUGCAGAGGACCCAGUUCUGGGCCCAGCCCCUACACAGAGGUAACUCCAAGCCAUCUGUUAAUUCCAGCUCUGGGGGAUCUAACACCCUCUUCUGGCCUCUCUGGGCGUGUGCAUACAUACAGUACACAUACAGACAAACAAGUACGUAUUCAUGCAAAUAAAGUUAUGGGGACUGAAUAGUUCAGUGGUUAAGGGCACUGGUUUUCUUCCAGAAGACUUGAGUUUGAUUCCCAAUACUUACCUGGCAGCUCACAAGCAUCUGUAACCUCAGUCUCAGAGAAGCUGAUGCCUUCUUCUGGCCUCCUUGGGCACUCCACACACAUGGAGCACAGAUAAACAUGCAGGCAAAACCCCAGUACAUAUGUGUGCUGGUUUGAGUGCGAAUGGCCCCUAUGGCUCAUACAUUUGAAUGCUUGGUUCCCAGUUGGUCAAGCUGUUUGGGAAGGAUGGGGACGUGUGGCCUGGUUGGAGGAGGUGUGUCACUGGAGAUGGGCUUUGAGGUUUCAAAAGCCCAUGUCAUUCCCAAUUAGCUCUUUCCUUCUCUUUUCUUCCUCCCUCCUUCUUACAGAUUAAGAU
rnacentral:lncRNA from 1 species